AGGAAAGGAAGGGGUUGUGCUUGGUGCACGGGUUUACCGAAUUGCGCAAGCUCAAGCUCGUCCUUGUUCCCUCCCACUCUGGUAGAUGAUAGGUGGAGCUUUUGCCUACCACCCGCCAAUACAUAUCCCGGUUCUGGGUAUACGUUUGCCGCGUUACCCCGUCGCAUCAUCAGUCCUUUAACGUCCGAGAAACGCGCGAUCAUCUACGCAACAUCGGUCUCCACAACAUAAUCAGUGGGACAACUUAAAAUAUACAAAGCAAAUAUAAGCAAAACAACACGCACCCACCCCUUCUUCUUUAACUCGCAAUAACAAAAAUCAAAAGAAGAAGAAAAAGAAGAAAAAGAAGAAAAAGAAGAAGAAGAAGAAGAAGGACAAGGACAAGAAGAAAAAACAAGAUUUAAUUUGUUGAGUUUGGUUUUUUUAAAGUUCCAUAUUAGUUCGCGUAAAAAAUACGAGGGUUGUUGCUUUUGGAGAGGAAGUGAACAAAGUGGAGGGGGUGGGGGCCUCUUCGUAAUAAUAAGAAAAGAAAAUUAUUAAGGAUAUGAAUAAUACGGAAGAUUCGUUUGUGAGUUGUCAAUUAAUAGAGGAGGGGGGAGGGGAAUAUUAUAUGUUGGAAUAUAUUGAAAUCAUGUUGAUUAGAUUGAAUUAGGAUUAUAAAUGAUGAUAUUAUACGUAACAACAAUGGCGGCAUUAAUUUCCCAUACAAAUCUGGGAAUCUUGUGAUUCUCACCUGAGAAAAUCUCGUUAUUUGUUCUUGGUGCAUCUUUGGGGUGGGGAGGAAACGAAGAAGAAGAGGAGGA